rnacentral:lncRNA from 1 species
CAUCUGUGGUGUAGAGUGCUAGAAUCUAAAAUAAGUAAAGUGGUCUCAGUGAAGUGAGGAAGGCAGAGAUAAGCAUCAGCAGCAGCUGGAGUGACUGAAAUGUGCAAGGCAGGACAUUAGAAAGGAUGAAAACAGGCCCAGUAAGAGCUCCAGAGUCUAUAUGGGGUUCCCCUAUAAGUUUUUGGCCAAGGAUGCAGGGUGAAACUACUUUAGGCUUACAAGAGAGCAAUUGCUUAUAGUGUUAAGAGAAUGACAGACACACUAGAAGUUGAGUAGUUCUGUGGUAGUUGAAUUGUCUACCCAAUAUUUGCAAAGCCUUUUGC